UACGUAGGGUGCGAGCGUUAAUCGGAAUUACUGGGCGUAAAGCGUGCGCAGGCGGUUUUGUAAGUCAGAUGUGAAAUCCCCGGGCUUAACCUGGGAACUGCGUUUGAAACUACAAGGCUAGAGUGUAGCAGAGGGGGGUGGAAUUCCACGUGUAGCAGUGAAAUGCGUAGAGAUGUGGAGGAACACCGAUGGCGAAGGCAGCCCCCCUGGGCUAACACUGACGCUCAGGCACGAAAGCGUGGGGAGCAAACAGG
rnacentral:rRNA from 1 species